GAUGAACGCUAGCUACAGGCUUAACACAUGCAAGUCGAGGGGCAGCAUUUUAGUUUGCUUGCAAACUGAAGAUGGCGACCGGCGCACGGGUGAGUAACACGUAUCCAACCUGCCGAUAACUCCGGGAUAGCCUUUCGAAAGAAAGAUUAAUACCGGAUAGUAUACGAAUAUCGCAUGAUAUUUUUAUUAAAGAAUUUCGGUUAUCGAUGGGGAUGCGUUCCAUUAGUUUGUUGGCGGGGUAACGGCCCGCCAAGACUACGAUGGAUAGGGGUUCUGAGAGGAAGGUCCCCCACAUUGGAACUGAGACACGGUCCAAACUCCUACGGGAGGCAGCAGUGAGGAAUAUUGGUCAAUGGGCGCGAGCCUGAACCAGCCAAGUAGCGUGAAGGAUGAAGGCUCUAUGGGUCGUAAACUUCUUUUAUAUGGGAAUAAAGUUUUCCACGUGUGGAAUUUUGUAUGUACCAUAUGAAUAAGGAUCGGCUAACUCCGUGCCAGCAGCCGCGGUAAUACGGAGGAUCCGAGCGUUAUCCGGAUUUAUUGGGUUUAAAGGGAGCGUAGGUGGAUUGUUAAGUCAGUUGUGAAAGUUUGCGGCUCAACCGUAAAAUUGCAGUUGAAACUGGCAGUCUUGAGUACAGUAGAGGUGGGCGGAAUUCGUGGUGUAGCGGUGAAAUGCUUAGAUAUCACGAAGAACUCCGAUUGCGAAGGCAGCUCACUAGACUGUCACUGACACUGAUGCUCGAAAGUGUGGGUAUCAAACAGGAUUAGAUACCCUGGUAGUCCACACAGUAAACGAUGAAUACUCGCUGUUUGCGAUAUACAGUAAGCGGCCAAGCGAAAGCAUUAAGUAUUCCACCUGGGGAGUACGCCGGCAACGGUGAAACUCAAAGGAAUUGACGGGGGCCCGCACAAGCGGAGGAACAUGUGGUUUAAUUCGAUGAUACGCGAGGAACCUUACCCGGGCUUAAAUUGCAACAGAAUAUAUUGGAAACAGUAUAGCCGUAAGGCUGUUGUGAAGGUGCUGCAUGGUUGUCGUCAGCUCGUGCCGUGAGGUGUCGGCUUAAGUGCCAUAACGAGCGCAACCCUUAUCUUUAGUUACUAACAGGUUAUGCUGAGGACUCUAGAGAGACUGCCGUCGUAAGAUGUGAGGAAGGUGGGGAUGACGUCAAAUCAGCACGGCCCUUACGUCCGGGGCUACACACGUGUUACAAUGGGGGGUACAGAAGGCGGCUACCUGGUGACAGGAUGCUAAUCCCAAAAACCUCUCUCAGUUCGGAUCGAAGUCUGCAACCCGACUUCGUGAAGCUGGAUUCGCUAGUAAUCGCGCAUCAGCCAUGGCGCGGUGAAUACGUUCCCGGGCCU
rnacentral:rRNA from 1 species